rnacentral:rRNA from 1 species
UACGUAGGCAGCGAGCGUUGUUCGGAGUUACUGGGCGUAAAGAGUGCGUAGGCGGUGCCCUAAGUCUGGUGUGAAAUCUCCCGGCUCAACCGGGGGAGGGUCACGCGAUACUGAUCGACUCGAAGGCAGGAGAGGGUAGUGGAAUUCCCGGUGUAGUGGUGAAAUGCGUAGAUAUCGGGAGGAACACCAGUGGCGAAGGCGACUACCUGGCCUGUUCUUGACGCUGAGGCGCGAAAGCUAGGGGAGCAAACGGG